GUGGAGGUGUCCGGGGGCCGCCGUUGGGACCGAGGUGUUCCCGGGCGCGGGGAGGAGCGGCAGUGCUGGGGAUGGGGCCCCCCACCACGACACCUAAGGGAAACCUAACCCUCACCCCGUGGGGCGCGGGGCACAAAAACUAGUGCAAGAAGACCCCGAACCAGGAAAGAGGCGAAGGAAAGCGCCCGUGCACCGGCCGCUGCAUCGUAGCCCCCGAAUCCCUUCACUCCGCCAAGGGCGAGUCCGACCUGCCCACGAGCCGUGCCCGGGCUCGCGCCAAUUCCACAACCGUCGGUCUGGUUUCCUCUGCCCUCUUUUUCCUUCCUCCACCGUCCAGAACACUCUUGGGGCAGCCGGAAAGAGGAAGGGCUGGGACUGAACGUUUGGUGACACCAGAGAUCAGGUUGUUGGAGGGCAGAGAAGACAUUUUAUUCGUCUUUGCAGUCUUCCAGUAUCUGGCACAAAUUCUUGCAGAUACAAGAAUGAAGAGAUCUGACCAUCUGGAUAUCCUACAGAUCUGCCUACUGAUCUAUUACAUUAAUGGCAUUAGAUUUUUCAGGCCAAAUGGCCAAAAAAAAUGACAAGUAUGCUAGAAUUCUUGACAAGUCACAUGGAUGUGAGAUAAACACACUUAGGAAUCUUCUACUCUCUGGCAGCCCGGGUGGCUCAGCGGUUUAGUGCCGGCUUCAGCCCAGGGCAUGAUCCUGGGGACCUGGGAUCAAGUCCCACAUCAGGCUCCACAUGGAGCCUGCUUCUCCCUCUGCCUCUGUCUG